rnacentral:rRNA from 1 species
AGUGAACGCUGGCGGCAGGCCUAAUACAUGCAAGUCGAACGGCAGCACAGCAGAGCUUGCUCUGUGGGUGGCGAGUGGCGGACGGGUGAGGAAUACAUGGGAAUCUGCCCAGUCGUGGGGGAUAACGUAUGGAAACGUACGCUAAUACCGCAUGCGCCCUAAGGGGGAAAGCCGGGGACCGCAAGGCCUGGCGCGAUUGGAUGAGCCCAUGUUCGAUUAGCUAGUUGGCGGGGUAAAGGCCCACCAAGGCGACGAUCGAUAGCUGGUCUGAGAGGAUGAUCAGCCACACUGGAACUGAGACACGGUCCAGACUCCUACGGGAGGCAGCAGUAGGGAAUAUUGGACAAUGGGGGCAACCCUGAUCCAGCCAUGCCGCGCGAGUGAAGAAGGCCCUCGGGUUGUAAAGCUCUUUUGUCCGGAAAGAAAAGCAAUCGGUUAAUACCCGGGUGUUCUGACGGUACCGGAAGAAUAAGCACCGGCUAACUUCGUGCCAGC